AGGCUAGUAGUUUAUUUAAAACAGUUUAUUGCAAGUAAGCAGAUGUACCUACCUAGCCUU
rnacentral:tRNA from 1 species